AGAAUCCAGUUCUCUUACCGCAAGCCCUGGAUACCCUAACACGACAGAAACACAAAAACUUCAACCCGAAUUUACCCUGCCUACAAGAUGCGCAGGGAUAAAGAUAGCGCAGAGAUUGAGGGAACGUCAAGCCUGAAACUCAAAUAAAAAUACGGCUUUUUCAAGCCUGUAAUUCAGUGAGCAGAGGGACAGACCAGACCACGAGUGUGGCCGUGCUGCCCUGGAGUCCCUCCGACAGCGAAUGCGCAAAUCAGCUGAAAAGAAGAAGGCCACUGCGGUGCUGAGAGGCAUGACCUUACCCUUAGGAAAUACACACUGAAGAAUGGAGAAUGGAAAGGCCUAGAGACAGGAGCCUAACAUGACUGUCAUCUGGGAGGCUCCAGCCAGCAGCAGAUGAAGACAGAUGCUGGAACUUGCAGCCAAGCAUGGGGCGGAGCUCCAGGGGUCUUGUGGAAGCGUUAGGAAAAAGAUGGAAGAACCUGCAGGUGAUAGGAGCCCCACAAGAAGACCAAGUAACCCAGACCCACAGGGACUUACAGACACUGAGACAUCAAACCUAGGUGAGCUGCAGGAUUCAGUAAAAGCAGAACAGCAGUCAACAGCCUAAUCAUAAACUUGGUUACGUGGCUCACCAGUCUGGAUUUUCAAGCAAACAAGAAGCUUCCUGGACCAUACAGGGUGUUGAAACUUUCUAAAUCCCAGCUAAGGACAGCUGAUUUAUCCGAAGGUGCUUUCUCCUGACGUACACAUUUCCUGAAAGGUUCUCUUUAUAAAACAGCAAUGAGAAAGGUAUAAUCCUCCUUCUGACCCUUAUUAAACCUUGAACAUACUUUACAAUCCUUUAAGUACAGAGGAAUCAGGGAGCGAUUGCGGUCCCAUCGCUACCCACACAUGUUGGGCUGUUUUGCUCUUCCCUUGGACAGGAGUGUCUAUUAUUGUUGGUCAGAGCUGGUAAGCUUCCCAGGCCAGCAUGCUUCCCAUCUCAUGCCUUUAUGCUAGCACUACAGUUCCUCGCCUGCCUUUUCCUUUUGUGUCUUUUUAGUCAUUUGUUUCUUGGCUCUGUUUUCAUUGCCACAUUCACUGCCAAAUGUGUUCCACUGCAAU